UUCUUCAUGGCUCAGUUGGUAGAGCAUGAGACUCUUCAUCUCAGGUUCAAGGCCCACAUUGGGCAAA